rnacentral:lncRNA from 10 species
GGAAGUUAAGGCUGACCUGGGGCCUCCUGCUGUGUGGCGGAAUCUCCAUCCCUCAGACCACCCCUGUCUCCUCCCAGCCCCAUCCAGGGUACAAAUUCCAGCCCUGGAACAGCUCAGAGACCAAAAAGUGAUGUUAAGUAUUUGAGGGGAGCCCCAAGAGAGGAGAAAAAGCUUUGAGUAUUGAUGGGGGUAAAUAACCAAAAUCACUUAUCAGUGGCCUGCGUCACCAGAAAAUGUCAAAGUUACCUGAAGCAGCAAAGAGGCUCUUGCUCCGGCCCCUCCCUUCCUUCUCAGCUCCAUUUGUUGCCACAUAUGCGUUGACUGGAACUGCGACUGACAUCUUGGGACCUUAGGGUCAGUCCACAGCGUGGUAGAGACUCCAGCUUGGCCCAGCAUUGCUGAGCUGCUGAACUCGCACCAACAGUCUUGUUGGAGGGAAAUAAUCUCCCGUUUGUUCAGUCCAGUUAUUUGACAGUGUGGUUACUUGCACCCCAAGCAUUUCUAACUGGCACUUCCAUCUAAUAGACCUCAGGGUACAUGGUGGUGAGAUAGGGACAUCAGUGAGCUGGAUUGUUCCCAUGGUAAAGGUCAUGUAUGUGUGUGUGUGUCAUGGUCCUCAAUACCAGCCCCAAGCCCAGUGAUUUGCUAGGAGGACUCCCAAGACUCAGUAUGUGGUUGUAUUCAUGGCUACGAU